rnacentral:lncRNA from 1 species
CAAAAACUGGACAUGCCAGAUGUGGACCUAUGCGUAGCACGUAACCCCCACUGCUCUCAAGCACAGACACGGACUGUGUGGAAAACAGUGUAAGCCUAUGGUUCUUCCCGAAUCCCCCGACCCCAUGGCAAUUCCCUGUAGCAAGGAAUCACAUGAAACGCCCUCACAAGCCUGAGCAAGUACAAAAAUAAGAGACAGAACACUGAACUCAUGCCUCCCCCUUAAAGGACCUUCUUGCACUAACGUCUUACGAAUUAGGAGGGGAAUUAAAAGUCCUCUUUGUAGGACUUACCGAAAGAUCUCGUCUUCACGCAUAAGUAUGCUGCAUUCCUGCUGCUGCUGGGAUCCUGGGCUUUGAGAACAGGGCCGGAGACACACUAGCUAUCCCGUGCCUCCCCCUGGCACCACAGACCCGCUGCUUAAAAUGCCUCCCUCCUUCCAGAGCCGUCGGCCUGUCUCCAAGCAGAGCAGCAGCUGGGGACUCCUGAUCAGGUGACCUGGGCACACCUGCUGGAGAAGGCCCAGGAGCGGCAGAUGAUGACCUUCCCUGACCUUCUUAACGUCAACGAGGACCCUCAGCUCACCAGGGUGCUCAAGUACUUCAUUCAAGCUGGUUCAUGUGACGCUGGUCGGGCUGUCUCAAAUGCUAUCACGAUUCAAGGUUUGGGUGCUUGGAGCCCUGACCCACCAGACUACAGAAAGCCCAGACUGUGGAGUGACCCCUGGGGCUCCCUCAGGAGGCCCCUGCAGGAGCCCUGGGAAACCCCAUGCCGGGCCUCACCCAGUCAAGAGCUGUCCCCAGCUCUGUGGCUGCCCUGCCUGGGAGGCUGCUGCUGGAGUGUCUCCAGCUGGGAAGCACCAUCACCUGCGUCCUUCAGACAGAUCACCCCCAUCCCCGUACGAAAGCCCACGGGCCGUCGUGGCUGGAGGGGUGCUGACCCAGGGGCUGGCUGGCCCCGCCUCGUCCUGCACUGCCAGCCUCCUUCUUGGGACAUCUUCCUGGGGAUCCCCCUCAAGUCCCUUUCCAGAACACGUCCUUAGUCCAACACACAGGUGCGUAAAUGUCUGAACUCCAGUGAUGAGGCCGCAACCUUUCCCACAGGAUCCCUGGGCCCCAUGCAAAAAAGGGUUUGGAUGCACACGGGUCUCCACAUCCAGAACAUUCCAUGAUGGCCAAGGAGUGCAGGAACAUGGAACAUGCUAAGGCAGGGAGCCAGUCAUUCAGGACACACAGAUGACAUCCGGUGCAGGGGAGCAGGGCGGGGAGGGGGGACACCAACCUGACACCCCUGAUGUCCAGCCCCAAAUCCUAUAAGGUCUGAAUUUAUACGGCGAGGGCGCAGAAACAGAUCAAAACGUACCCGGAGUAGGUGAGGCUCGUUAAGAGUCGCCUCCUGAGUGUCUCUUCUGAAGCUUGCUUGCUGCCAUUUUCCCACCACCCCAUCCCGCUGGCCUGGGAGCGGGAGGACUCCAGUGUGGCCUUGGCCGGCUCCCCGCAGCGCUAGGCCCUCAGCUGGUGUUCGUUCUGUUAUGAAGCCCUUACCUGCUGUCUCCCAGCUCCCCGUGCUCCCCAAGGGCAGGGUCCUUCUGCGCCCGCUGCUGUCCCCAUGCAUCAUGGGCCACAGCACACAGGAGGCCCCGAGAUGCCACCUGCCAUCCUCCGCAGCUGUAGACCUUCCCUCCCGUGCACAUGAGAAAGGUCAGCGUACCUGCUCACGGAAACCGCCGUUUGCUGGGUGUCUUAGACUGACUCUCGUCUUCUUAGAAUUUCAGAUAAACACGCUUCCUUCACAAAUGCCGACGGUAAAGUGAUGGUCACUCCACACAGCAAAUGCAAGGUUGCCGUUAAUGGGGUGCCCAUCACCACCAGGACAAAGCUGCAGCAUUUGGUAAACUUUCCUGCAGGCUCACAGAAUGUCCUAGGUCCCCCCCAAAAGCUGGGAGGGGACAGUCAUGUGAGGUGCCCACAUCACAGACGUGGCAGGAUGGGGCAUUCACACCAGCUCCUCUGCCACCAUGGCUUGGGGACAACAUGGCACCACUGCUGGAGGGACAGGCCUGCUCCUGACUCGCUGUGUGGUCUUGGGCAAGUCACUUCACUCCUCUGACCUCACCUGGAAAACAAGGAGGGCUGAACUAGGUGUUCUCCAAGAUC